UACGUAGGGACCGAGCGUUGUCCGGAAUCAUUGGGCGUAAAGAGCGUGUAGGCGGCCUUUUAAGUCCUGCAUGAAAUCCUGCGGCUCAACCGCAGACGGUCGUGGGAAACUGGAAGGCUAGAGUGCGGGAGAGGAGAGUGGAAUUCCCGGUGUAGCGGUGAAAUGCGCAGAUAUCGGGAAGAACACCCGUGGCGAAGGCGGCUCUCUGGAACGCAACUGACGCUGAGACGCGAAAGCGUGGGGAGCAAACAGG
rnacentral:rRNA from 1 species